UUUGGUUAGUGUGCUGAAUAU
rnacentral:miRNA from 1 species